rnacentral:rRNA from 1 species
AAGCAGCCAUCAACAAAGAGUGCGUUAAAGCUCUAUCCUACAAAAAUACAAAAACAAUAUGACUCCCUCCCCAUUAACAGGCUAACCUAUAUUCAAAUAGGAGAAUUAAUGCUAGAAUGAGUAACCUGGGUCCUCCCUCUACGACGCAAGCUUACAUCGGCACAUUAUUAACAAAUCACCAAUAUACGACUAAUCAAACAAGCAGAGUAUUAAGUACAUUGUUAACCCGACAAAGGAGCGUCCAUUAAGAAAGAUUAAAACCUGUAAAAGGAACUCGGCAAACCCGUCAAGGCCCGACUGUUUACCAAAAACAUAGCCUUCAGCAAACCACAGACAAGUAUUGAAGGUGAUGCCUGCCCGGUGACUCACGUUCAACGGCCGCGGUAUCCUAACCGUGCAAAGGUAGCGCAAUCAAUUGUCCCAUAAAUCGAGACUAGUAUGAAUGGCUAAACGAGGUCUUAACUGUCUCUUACAGGCAAUCGGUGAAAUUGAUCUCCCUGUUCAAAAGCAGGGAUAAACACAUAAGACGAGAAGACCCUGUGGAACUUUAAAACCAGCAACCAUCUUAGAUCACCUACUCACCCACCGGGUUCACUGUUACAUAAGACACUGGUCUGCGUUUUUCGGUUGGGGCGACCUUGGAGCAAAGCAGAACCUCCAAAAAUUAGACCACACCUCUAGACUGAGAGCAACCCCUCAACGUGCUAAUAGCACCCAGACCCAAUAUAAUUGAUCAAUGGACCAAGCUACCCCAGGGAUAACAGCGCAAUCUCCUCCGAGAGUCCGUAUCGACGGGGAGGUUUACGACCUCGAUGUUGGAUCAGGACAUCCUAGUGGUGCAGCCGCUACUAAGGGUUCGUUUGUUCAACGAUUAAUAGUCCUACGUGAUCUGAGUUCAGACCGGAGUAAUCCAGGUCGGUUUCUAUCUAUGAUGAACUCUUCCCAGUACGAAAGGAUAGGAAAAGUGAGGCCAAUACUACAAGCAAGCCUUCGCCUUAAGUAAUGAAAACAACUAAAUUACAAAAGGCUAUCACUCCACACCACGUCCAAGAAAAGGACUA